rnacentral:rRNA from 1 species
AUUGAACGCUGGCGGCAGGCCUAACACAUGCAAGUCGAACGAGCGGCGGACGGGUGAGUAAUGUCUGGGAAACUGCCUGCUGGAGGGGGAUAACUACUGGAAACGGUAGCUAAUACCGCAUACCAUCGGAUGUGCCCAGAUGGGAUUAGCUUGUAGGUGAGGUAACGGCUCACCUAGGCGACGAUCCCUAGCUGGUCUGAGAGGAUGACCAGCCACACUGGGACUGAGACACGGUCCAGACUCCUACGGGAGGCAGCAGUGGGGAAUAUUGCACAAUGGGCGCAAGCCUGAUGCAGCCAUGCCGCGUGUGUGAAGAAGGCUUUCGGGUGGUAAAGCACUGUUAGACGGGAGGCGUUACCGAAAGAAGAAGCAACGGCUAACUCCGUGCCAGCCGCCGCGGUAAUUC